AUUGAACGCUGGCGGAAUGCUUUACACAUGCAAGUCGAACGGCAGCACGGACUUCGGUCUGGUGGCGAGUGGCGAACGGGUGAGUAAUGUAUCGGAACGUGCCCAGUCGUGGGGGAUAACGUAGUGAAAAUUACGCUAAUACCGCAUACGAUCUAUGGAUGAAAGCGGGGGAUCGCAAGACCUCGCGCGAUUGGAGCGGCCGAUAUCAGAUUAGGUAGUUGGUGGGGUAAAGGCCCACCAAGCCAACGAUCUGUACCUGGUCUGAGAGGACGACCAGCCACACUGGAACUGAGACACGGUCCAGACUCCUACGGGAGGCAGCAGUGGGGAAUUUUGGACAAUGGGCGAAAGCCCGAUCCAGCCAUUCCGCGUGCAGGAUGAAGGCCCUCGGGUUGUAGACUGCUUUUGUACAGAACGAAAAGGUUUCUACUAAUACUAGGAGCUCAUGACGGUACUGUAAGAAUAAGCACCGGCUAACUACGUGCCAGCCGCCGCCGUAA
rnacentral:rRNA from 1 species